UCCCUGGUAGCUCAGAUGGUAAAGAAUCUGCCUGCAAUGCAGGAGACCUAGGUUCGAUCCCUGGGUUGAGAA
rnacentral:tRNA from 1 species